GCGGUUGAAGGUGUACCGGGAGGUAUGCUGGACGUAUCAGAAGUGCGAAUGCUGACAUGAGUAACGAUAAUGCGGGUGAAAAACCCGCACGCCGGAAGACCAAGGGUUCCUAUCCCAUGUUAAUCAGGGUAGGGUAAGUCGACCCCUAAGGCGAGGCCGAAAGGCGUAGUCGAUGGGAAACGGAUUAAUAUUUCCGUACUUGGUAUAAUUGCGAUGGGGGGACGGAGCAGGCUAAGCAAGCAUGGCGAUGGUAGUCCAUGUGAAAGUGUGUAGGCUAGUGACUUAGGUAAAUCCGGGUUG
rnacentral:rRNA from 1 species